UUCAGAUUGUGGUGGCUGUGUCUCGUUGACAUCACUGGUCUUACUUUCUGUGUCAUCAUCUGACAGCUCCAGGGAAGCCCCCUCAAUGUGCAGCUGGCGCCGGCUAGACCGGCUUGAAGAAAAGCUGAUUGGGCCGCCCCGCCUACAAGAGCAAAACAGAUGUGGGUACGAGCUUCGUAAAGCCAAAGGACAAUGCAAACACAGCAGCAUUAGAGGAACCUGCAUACUGGCCAGCCACUUGCCUGCUGUGUGUGACAGAUCGAGUGAAGAUACUACCAGAGAUGGAUCGAUCAAGGAUCCCUGAUCUCAACAUCCAUGAUGCCGCAAAAGGAAGAAGCCACACCUGCCCUGGGACCAGAGACAGCCAAGACACAUAUUGUGUAAAACUGCCUUCAGCCCAUGAGGAUAAGUGUAUAUAAAACAUGAAUUUCAUGUUUACACAGGGCUCAUCUCUCCAAGAGAUCUAAUUACAUAGAUGCAAAUAUUCCAAAGUCAGAAAAAAAACAUAAAUCUGAACGACUUCUGGUCCCAAAUAUUUUGGACAAGUGAUUUUCAACAUGAACUAGGUUAUGGGAGUUUUGUAUUUCAUGCUUUUUUUCUUUUUUCCAAUUUUCAUGUACGAUUGUAUUGCUUUUAAACAAAGAAACUUUUUUUUUAUACCAGAGAGAGAUUGAGAGAGAGAGAGAGAGAGAAAGCAAAAAAA